rnacentral:rRNA from 1 species
GUCCACGCCGUAAACGAUGGGUGCUAGGUGUGGGCGGUGUCGACUCCGUCCGUGCCGAAGCUAACGCAUUAAGCACCCCGCCUGGGGAGUACGGCCGCAAGGCUAAAACUCAAAGGAAUUGACGGGGGCCCGCACAAGCAGCGGAGCAUGUGGUUUAAUUCGACGCGACGCGAAGAACCUUACCAGGGCUUGACAUGCACUGGAAUGUCGUAGAAAUACGGCAGCCCUUCGGGGCUAGUGCACAGGUGGUGCAUGGCUGUCGU